rnacentral:misc_RNA from 1 species
GCUAGUUCCAACUGUUAUCUCCAACGCUCGAAGUAUUUGUUUGUUUGUUUGUUGGUGUCAAUCGUAUACACCAGUAGUAGUACACAAACGGUUGGGUUGCGCACCUGCACCAUCAUUCAUAUCGGUUUUGCCACCCACCGCCACCAUUGCUUCGCCGCCCGCUCCGGCUAUGCUAGAGUGUACAUCAUUCUUUUUCCUGCCUCCAAUAAUGCCGCAGCCUGCAGCCUCUCUCUCUCUCUCCAAAAAUAAAAUAAAAGGAGCUCCUGCUAGUCUACCGACAAUGCAACCACUGAUAGCACAGCUUUGCUCCCUAUUUUUUUUUUCAGGUUUUCCAUGGAGUUCAAAGAUGCAAGGUGAGGCAGAGGCAGAGGCAGAGGCAGAGCAGAAACGAAUUUUUUUUUUAAAUAGGUUCUAUCCCCAUCUCACUCCGCAAAAGGCGCCUCUCGUGCAGGGACCGUCGGAUACCCUGGUCGCCCUACCACCGUCUGCGGCCCUGCUUUGGGAUUGGGAUGAUGCCCUUCUCUUUCUUCACAUGUCUCUGGUUCUUCUGCCUGCUCGUUUAAACAAGCAGGUGGAGCCCUC